rnacentral:rRNA from 1 species
AUUGAACGCCGGCGGCAUGCCUUACACAUGCAAGUCGAACGGCAGCACGGGAGCUUGCUCCUGGUGGCGAGUGGCGAACGGGUGUGUAAUGCAUCGGAACGUACCCGGAAGUGGGGGAUAACGUAGCGAAAGUUACGCUAAUACCGCAUAUUCUGUGAGCAGGAAAGAGGGGGAUCGCAAGACCUCUCGCUUUCGGAGCGGCCGAUGUCGGAUUAGCUAGUUGGUGGGGUAAAGGCCUACCAAGGCGACGAUCCGUAGCGGGUCUGAGAGGAUGAUCCGCCACACUGGAACUGAGACACGGUCCAGACUCCUACGGGAGGCAGCAGUGGGGAAUUUUGGACAAUGGGCGAAAGCCUGAUCCAGCCAUGCCGCGUGAGUGAAGAAGGCCUUCGGGUUGUAAAGCUCUUUCGGCUGAAAAGAAAUCGCACAGGCUAAUACCCUGUGUGGAUGACGGUACCGGAAUAAGAAGCACCGGCUAACUACGUGCCAGCCGCCGCCGUAA